rnacentral:rRNA from 1 species
AGACGUCUACAUUAGAUACCCCUGUAGUCCCAGCCGUAAACUAUGCUCGCUAGGUGUCAGGCAUGGCGCGACCGUUGUCGGUGCCGUAGGGAAACCGUGAAACGUGCCGCCUGGGAAGUACGGUCGCAAGGCUGAAACUUAAAGGAAUUGGCGGGGAGCACCACAACGGGUGGAGCCUGCGGUUUAAUUGGACUCAACGCCGGAAAUCUCACCGGAUAGGACAGACAUAUGAUAGUCGGGCUGAAGACUCUACUUGAUGAUCUG